GGUUAAGCGACUAAGCGUACACGGUGGAUGCCCUGGCAGUCAGAGGCGAUGAAGGACGUGCUAAUCUGCGAUAAGCGUCGGUGAGGUGAUAUGAACCGUUAUAACCGGCGAUUUCCGAAUGGGGAAACCCAGUGUGUUUCGACACACUAUCAUUAACUGAAUCCAUAGGUUAAUGAGGCGAACCGGGGGAACUGAAACAUCUAAGUACCCCGAGGAAAAGAAAUCAACCGAGAUUCCCCCAGUAGCGGCGAGCGAACGGGGAGCAGCCCAGAGCCUGAAUCAGUGUGUGUGUUAGUGGAAGCGUCUGGAAAGG
rnacentral:rRNA from 1 species